rnacentral:lncRNA from 1 species
CAACAAACGACCGCAAGUCCACCUGCUUACUGACUACUACUACUCCACACCCUUAGCCCUCUACUCUAAUGCUUUUCCUCCAUAACUUUCUAUCCAGGGUCAUGUCCUCAGUCAGCUAUAACUGCUCCAUGUCACGUUUAAUCACUUCUCUCCAGUGUUUUUUCGGUCUACCCCUACCCUGCUUGAAACCUUCCAAGGCCAACCUCUCACACCUACCAACUGAGGCAUCCGUGCCCCUCCUCAUCACAUGACCAAACCAUCUCAACCUCACUUCUCGAAUUUUAUCCUCCACCGACA